rnacentral:rRNA from 1 species
AGUUGUAGAAUCACUGGUGAAUAAGGGGUGGGCAAGUUCUGGUGUCAGCCGCCGCGGUAAAACCAGCACCUCGAGUGGUCAGGAGGUUUAUUGGGCCUAAAGCAUCCGUAGCCGGUUGCAUAAGUUUUCGGUUAAAUCUAUGCGCUCAACGUAUAGGCCGCCGAAAAUACUGUGCAGCUAGGGAGUGGGAGAGGUACACGGUACUCGAUAGGAAGGGGUAAGAUCCUUUGAUCUAUUGAUGACCACCUGUGGCGAAGGCGGUGUACCAGAACACGUUCGACGGUGAGGGAUGAAAGCUGGGGGAGCAAACCGGAUUAGAUACCCGGGUAGUCCCAGCUGUAAACGAUGCAGACUCGGUGAUGCAUUGGCUUGUGGCCAAUGCAGUGCCGCAGGGAAGCCGUUAAGUCUGCCGCCUGGGAAGUACGUACGCAAGUAUGAAACUUAAAGGAAUUGGCGGGGGAGCACCACAAGGGGUGAAGCCUGCGGUUCAAUUGGAGUCAACGCCAGAAAUCUUACCUGGGGAGACAGCAGAAUGAAGGUCAAGCUGAAGACUUUACCAGACACGCUGAGAGGUGGUGCAUGGCCGUCGCCAGCUCGUGCCGUGAGAUGUCCUGUUAAGUCAGGUAACGAGCGAGACCCCUGCGUCUAGUUGCUACCAUUAUUCUCUGGAGUAGUGGAGCGAAUUAGACGGACCGCCACAGUUAAUGUGGAGGAAGGAAGGGGCCACGGCAGGUCAGUAUGCCCCGAAACCCUAGGGCUACACGCGGGCUGCAAUGGUAUUGACAAUGUGUUCCGAAUCCGAAAGGAGGAGGCAAUCAUUAAACAAUAUCUCAGUUAUGACUGAGGGC